rnacentral:rRNA from 1 species
AUGUGGAAGGCAAUCAUAGCAGGCAGAAAGGCAUUGGAGUGUGGCCUGAUCAAGCGAGCGGCGAAUGGUGAGUCUAUCUCCACCUGGUCGGAUAGAUGGAUCCCGAGCACGAGCACUCAUAUACCUAUUGGUCGGAUUGGGACUGACCCUAUCCCUCGGGUCUCUGAACUAUUCGAUCAUGAGACGGGGGCGUGGGAUGUUGAUCUAAUUCGAAGGAACUUCCUACCUUCAGAUGCAGCGGCUAUCUUGAAUAUACCAUUGAGAGCUGCUGGGGGAGAGGACUAUUUUGCUUGGGACUUGGAGAGGUCUGGUGUUUAUUCUGUCAAAUCGGCUUAUCGUGCUCUAGUGACUCAUAACGAGCAAUCUGCUCCAGAGGAAGGAACGAUAAUGGAUCCAUCAUCAUCAUCAUCGGAUAAACACAUGUGGACUGCUUUGUGGAAGCUCAAGGUAAUCCCCAGAGUACGAGUUUUUUGGUGGUGUGUGCUGCGGGGAAUUCUCCCAGACUAUGCUACCCUUCAUCACCGUCAUAUCCGUACGACAGCGAUAUGUGAUCUGUGCAAGGUAGCGCUGGAGGACUUGCACCAUGCGCUUAUAGGAUGCACGCAUGCACGACUCUUCUGGAAUGCUGCUCAUGAUUUCAUGGGUGUCACUUUGCCGCUGCUGAAUUCGAACACUUGGGCAAGGGACGUGCUAAUGGAUGAUCAGAUCUUGGAUCAAGACAGAGGAAAAAUUAUAACAGUUAUGCAUGCGAUUUGGUCGGCUAGGAAUCGGUGGACCCAUGAUCAAGUUUCUUAUGAUCCAGUUCAUGCGAUCAAGACAGUACGUAAUGAUUUACUUUUGCUUGAGUUCCCAAAGCCUAUGUGA